rnacentral:rRNA from 1 species
CAUGAAGCUGGAUUCGCUAGUAAUCGCGCAUCAGCCACGGCGCGGUGAAUACGUUCCCGGGCCUUGUACACACCGCCCGUCAAGCCAUGGAAGCCGGGAGUGCCUGAAGUGCGUGACCGCAAGGAGCGCCCUAAGGCAAUACCGGUGACUGGGGCUAAGUCGUAACAAGGUAGC